rnacentral:rRNA from 1 species
GACGAACGCUGGCGGCGUGCCUAAUACAUGCAAGUUGAGCGCUGAAGGUUGGUACUUGUACCAACUGGAUGAGCAGCGAACGGGUGAGUAACGCGUGGGGAAUCUGCCUUUGAGCGGGGGACAACAUUUGGAAACGAAUGCUAAUACCGCAUAAAAACUUUAAACACAAGUUUUAAGUUUGAAAGAUGCAAUUGCAUCACUCAAAGAUGAUCCCGCGUUGUAUUAGCUAGUUGGUGAGGUAAAGGCUCACCAAGGAGAUGAUACAUAGCCGACCUGAGAGGGUGAACGGCCACAUUGGGACUUAGACACGGCCCAAACUCCUACGGGAGGCAGCAGGAGGGAAUCUUCGGCAAUGGACGAAAGUCUGACCGAGCAACGCCGCGUGAGUGAAGAAGGUUUUCGGAUCGUAAAACUCUGUUGGUAGAGAAGAACGUUGGUGAGAGUGGAAAGCUCAUCAAGUGACGGUAACUACCCAGAAAGGGACGGCUAACUACGUG